UAUGGCUAUCACUCUCCAGCUGCUGUCAGAAUGUUAAGUUUGCUUUCUUGAGGCCUGACAUCUAACACAUUUCUUUUUCUAAUUAGUAUCUGGUACUGUAAGAUGCUGAUAUUUUACUGCAUGUCAGACGUGCAGGGCUGAAAUACAUCACUGAACUCAGAGGUGGAUUUUGGUGCUAGGAAUUAGUUUUUACUUGUUGCAGUGAAUUCAAAGCAUCCCUCUGUUUUCAAAAAGCUACGUGGAUGGAGAAGUUAGUGCCUGCAAACCUCCAAUGUUGUUGCCUGAGAAAGGAUGCAGGGUGAAGCUGACAAAUCAAACCCUGGCCAGGCAAAAGAGCACUGGUUUCAUUUUCAACAGCAUACUCAGGCAAUAUCCUGUUCACAAAUAAUUCCUCAGCCUGGCAACAGAACAGCAUGCUUCCCAGCUACAGAUGUAAGGGUACGGGGGUAUUUAUGCCAUGCUAAAGAAGCAGCAGCCCUGAACCCUGACUCAGGUAAAUUAAUGAAGUUGUGAAGGAUUUGCCAUUUUGCCACAUGUGCAAUGAUAGCGUAAGUAAUGAGUCAGGGCUUCCACCUGGGGCAAGGAUCAAGCACAGCUUGAUGGAGCAGUGAAGGCACCAAAGUGUGGGUGCAGGUGCAACUGAAAAAAAUGAGACCAUAGCUAUAAAUUCAGCCAAUGCUGCUAAGAAAUCUGCUUACAUUUCCUUACUGAAGAGCUCUGUCAAAUUUGCUAGUUGUGUAAGGGUGGGUUGUUGUUAUAGUUUUCAGGAUGAGAGCACAACAUUAGUUCAUAAGCCAUCUUGGCAGCCUGAGGUAAAGGUGAGAGUGAUUUUUCCUCCAAGGUGAAGGCAGUACUUUCUCACCUUAAAUGCAUGUAAUAGUUUUCAUCAGAAACUGUGGUUGUUCAUAGGGAAGAGCUCUUCAGCCAGCAAGAGGUUGCCUGAUAAGUGGAAUUUGCCCUUCCAAGAAGAGUUGUGGUAAAAGUUCUAAGCACUUAGAGCUGUGCUGUCAAAUACAGGAUGGAGAUUUUUAAAGACAUUACAAUUGACAAUGAAUUCAGGAUAACCCUGAUUUCAGGCAUAGUCAUUUCCAGAAAGCAUACUAAACAUAUGCAUGGAGAAAAAAGGAGUCAUCUGUGGUGCCAGGGAAGGCUUCACAUUAUGUGCUGAGCAAUAGUCAAUGAAUGAUGAUUCUGAUGUUUUUGCAUGAUUCCUCCCAUAUUAAUAAAAACUCGCUAUUCAAAGGUUCAAGAACCUACAAUGAAACCUGAAAACCAGCUCUGGAAUCCUCACUACUGAUUGAAGACAAUUGUGCAUAAAGAACACAGAGCAAAAUUUCUUACCCAAUUUAAACAUAAAGCCAUUUUCUCGGUUGCAGAUCAGAGGAACUGAACUGAUUAAUACUAACCAAGAAUCCAGCUUGCUACUACAAAAGAAAGUAAACCAGAGCAGGUAAGUCUCUAGUAUAAUAACCUAAGGAUGGCAUUCAGCAAGGAUUUGCAGAUGCAGUCAUUCAAAUGUUUCUCCAACAAUGCUGCUUUUCCAAACUGGAGAUGAAAGGUAUAGGUAGAGAGUCAACUGCCUAAUUGUCACCAGGCUAAAUACUUCUUAACUUACCUAUGAUGUGAUAAAUCCUGGAGUACUUGCUGCUUACACAAGAGGAUUUCAACACAGAGGCAUGUUCCAGAAAGUGGGCAAUUAGAAAGAUUAAGGGCUAUAUAUUCUGCAUCCAAACAGAGGCAGAACCACAGUAUCAACUGUCAGAAGCUCUGAAGGAGCUAUUUCUUCUGACUCACCAAUAAAUAGUCGAGAAAUACUCCGGGAAUUUAGAUAUAUGAUAUGAAAGUCAUGCUUUCUGAUUGUGAAAGGGGCCACAAGGAAGUCCUCCAUGUGCACCCAGAUUGGAUCUUCAAUUUAAAAACAUCAAAAUCUGAAUUAUACAGAGGCUAUCCAGCACUAUGGUCUUUGACUGCAGAAGCAUUGCUCGUGAUGUCUGGAAGAAGACUUUUGGAUCAUUCCUGCCUCCAGCUUCCUCUCCCUGCCUGCAUGCAAGGGAUUACCACAGGUCAGCUUGCAGAGAGAAUCACAGAUGAUUUGGGUUGGAAGGGACCUUAAAACCAACUAAUUGUAACCGCC